rnacentral:rRNA from 1 species
UGCAUAUCAAUAAGCGGAGGAAAAGAAACUAACCAGGAUUCCCCUAGUAACGGCGAGUGAAGCGGGAAUAGCUCAAAUUUUAAAUCUGGCUGGCGUUGGUCAGUCCGAGUUGUAAUUUGAAGAGGCAAUUAUCACGUUUUCGUUUGGGCUCAAGUUCCUUGGAAUAGGACAUCAGAGAGGGUGAGAAUCCCGUCUGUGAUCCGAUCGGUUGCGGUAUGAUAUCGUUUCUAAGAGUCGAGUUGUUUGGGAUUGCAGCUCUAAAUGGGUGGUAAAUUCCAUCUAAGGCUAAAUAUUGGCGAGAGACCGAUAGCGAACAAGUACCGUGAGGGAAAGAUGAAAAGAACUUUGAAAAGAGAGUUAAACAGUACGUGAAAUUGUUGAAAGGGAAACGAUUGAAGUCAGUCAUGCCGGCGAGAAUCAACUUUUAGGAAAGGGGAUUUUUUUGAACCUAACCUUGAAGUGCACUUCUUCGUUUGGUAGGUUAGCGUCGAUUUUAAAUAUCAUAAAAUGAUUGGGGGAAGGUAGCUCUUUCGAGAGUGUUAUAGCCCUUGAUUAAUGUGAUGUUUGGGAUCGAGGAUUGCAACGGAUACCUUUUAGGCUAGCCGCCUGGCCUCUGAUUCGAUGUCGGGUUAUAGACAGCAUGCUGACUAUGAUCUGAUUAUUGGUCAAAAGGUUAGAGCGAGUAUAAAUUCGUUAAGGAUGUUGACGUA